GGUAAACUACGUGAAGCGUUCCUCUUUUGAGUUCCUAACUUGAUUGCAAUUUUCCGCAUCACCUUUGCUAAUUUGAAAAACUCCCUUGCGGGAAUUCGCAGUGCUUUUACUGUCUUCCAAUUGAAGUGUUGCUCAAAUAUUGAUUCAAUACAUUACCUCGGGCUGACCAAUUCAUUUCAUCAAGUUCCUCGAGAUAUACAUACACUUCCUAGUAUAAUUGUAAACUUCCUGUUGAAUAGUUUGAAUGCACCAAUCACCUUUGUCGUUUGUGCAACUAACCAAUCAUAAAUAGAAAGGAAGUGACCAGAAAUGAUCAAAUACUUGGAAUUGGCUCUUUCAUAGGAAGUGUAUGAAUAUCUCGAGGAACUUGAUCAAAUGAAUUGGUCAGCCCGAGGUAAUGUAUUGAUUCAAUAUUUGAGCAACACUUCAAUUGGAACGACAGUAAGAGCCAAAUAAAGUUUCCACAGUUCCUGUUAGAAGUUCUUAACUUCCUGUUACCAGUCCUAACUUCCUGUUCUUUUGUGUGCGUUGCAAUUGGCUAACAAAAUAAACCACCAAUGACAACGCUCAGAAC